rnacentral:rRNA from 1 species
AACGAACGCUGGCGGCAUGCCUAACACAUGCAAGUCGAACGAAGCCUUCGGGCUUAGCGGCGCACGGGUGCGUAACGCGUGGGAAUCUGCCCCUUGCUUCGGAAUAACAGUUAGAAAUGACUGCUAAUACCGGAUGAAGUCUUCGGACCAAAGAUUUAUCGGCAAGGGAUGAGCCCGCGUAGGAUUAGGUAGUUGGUGGGGUAAAGGCCUACCAAGCCGACGAUCCUUAGCUGGUCUGAGAGGAUGAUCAGCCACACUGGGACUGAGACACGGCCCAGACUCCUACGGGAGGCAGCAGUGGGGAAUAUUGGACAAUGGACGCAAGUCUGAUCCAGCAAUGCCGCGUGAGUGAUGAAGGCCUUAGGGUUGUAAAGCUCUUUUACCAGGGAUGAUAAUGACAGUACCUGGAGAAUAAGCGCCGGCUAACUCCGUG